UACAGAGGUCUCAAGCGUUGUUCGGAUUCAUUGGGCGUAAAGGGUGCGUAGGCGGCGCGGUAAGUCGGGUGUGAAAUCUCGGGGCUUAACUCCGAAACUGCAUUCGAUACUGCCGUGCUUGAGGACUGGAGAGGAGACUGGAAUUUACGGUGUAGCGGUGAAAUGCGCAGAUAUCAGGAGGAACACCGGUGGCGAAGGCGGGUCUCCGGGCAGUAACUGACGCUGAGGAGCGAAAGCGUGGGGAGCGAACAGG
rnacentral:rRNA from 1 species